GAUGAAGAACGCAGAGAAAUGCGAUAAGUAAUGUGAAUUGCAGAAUUCAGUGAAUCAUCGAAUCUUUGAACGCACAUUGCGCCCCUUGGUAUUCCGGGGGGCAUGCCUGUUCGAGCGUCAUUAUAACCCUCAAGCCUAGCUUGGUGUUGGAGCAUGCUACCUAAGCAGCUCUUAAAAUCAGUGGCAGUGCCCUUCGGCUCUAAGCGUAGUAACUUCUCUCGCUAUGGAACCCGGAGGGUACGCGCCAGAACCCCCAACUUUCUAUGGUUGACCUCGGAUCAGGUAGGGAUACCCGCUGAACUUAAGCAUAUCAAUAAGCGGAGGA
rnacentral:misc_RNA from 1 species